AGCAGCCGCGGUAAUUCCAGCUCCAAUAGCGUAUAUUAAAGUUGUUGCAGUUAAAAAGCUCGUAGUUGAAUUUCGGGGUUAGUAGGUUGGUCAUGCCUCUGGUAUGUACUGAUCUCACUGAUUCCUCCUUCCUGAUGAACCUUAAUGCCAUUUAUUUGGUGUUUUGGGGAAUUUGGACUGUUACUUUGAAAAAUUAGAGUGUUUAAAGCAAGCUAACGCUUGAAUACAUUAGCAUGGAAUAAUGAAAUAGGACGUUCGAUCCUAUUUUGUUGGUUUCUAGGAUUGACGUAAUGAUUAAUAGGGAUAGUUGGGGGCAUUAGUAUUCAAUUGUCAGAGGUGAAAUUCUUGGAUUUAUUGAAGACUAACUACUGCGAAAGCAUUUGCCAAGGAUGUUUUCAUUAAUCAAGAACGAAAGUUAGGGGAUCGAAGACGAUCAGAUACCGUCGUAGUCUUAACCAUAAACUAUGCCGACUAGGGAUCGGAU
rnacentral:rRNA from 1 species